rnacentral:lncRNA from 1 species
AAAAAUCAUGACCAAUGGGCUUUGAGGAGGCUGCCCGAGGCCAUAUUAGGGAUUAGGGUUAGUUUCUCGAGGCCAUUCGAACUUUGAAGGCUAGGGUCAGAAGGUUUAGGUUUUUGGAUAUGGUUUUGGUGCAAAAUUUGUGUCAUUUGGGGUUUAUAUGAAGAAGUUAUAGGCGCUCAAAGUUAAGGUUUAAGUUUUCGACGUACUGUCACUCUUUUGAGCAUACCGCACGCGUACGGACAGCAAACGAGGAUCGGCGACCGGAUUUGAAGAGAAACCUUUUUCGGCUACAGUUUGUGCAUACUGUUUAUCGAAUUCCAAGCUUUUAUGAAGGAGAUAUUGGCAGUUGAAGUCAGCGCUUGAUAUCUAAGGGUAGUAAGUAGCCCGAAUUACUUGUGCUUGUGAUUUGAGCUAUAUCUUAGACAAUUUGAUGAGUUUUUAGCUCAAAAGUUUCAAGAUUGAGUGUAAUCUUGUUAUAAAGCUUUCUAUACAAGUUUUGUGUGAUUUGGAGCUUGGGUUUAAGAGAUAUAAGGAAAAUAGUUUUCGGGUGCUUGUAAGUUAGGGUUUUGUGCACCUGCUAGGGUUUCUUAGAUGCCGAACGAUCGGUGAUAGAUGUACGGUUCAAUUUUUUUAUGGUAAAAUUUAAGUAUAGCAUCUAGCUUAUUUAGGAGUUUGAAACAAAGUGAACGGUGUGAUUAGCUUUUAUGAAUUUUCAAAGUUUGAUGUAAAAAGGUCCUUGGCGGGAAGAAAUAUAUUUUGAAGAAUUUUAAGAUAUUUUGAAUUUUUAUACAAAGCAAGGAGUUUAUUUUUGGGAGCUAAGGAAUUAUAUAAAAAAAGAAACCUAAACUCUCUACAGCUAGAUACCCGGUGUAUUCCCAGAUAGAAAAUCACGCCAUAUGACAACGUUUUGCAACUCUACUUGGAAAUGAGGCCCUAUGUUGUUUGCCUCGAAUACAACCUUCACUAGCAAAUAUCAUAGCAUUGUGGCUUAUAUGACCAAGAUCUAAGCCACUUACCAAGGAUUGGAGCCCCUUC